rnacentral:lncRNA from 13 species
CUUAGACUGAGAUUCCUCGGCAUGACAGGAACAGAAUGUGGUGCAAAAAGCAAGCGAAUCGCCUUGGCCGAGAUAUUAUCCCUGUGGUCCCCCGUCCAUCUCUCCAGGUGAGAGCCCAGGGGUGAAGCAACUGCCCUGAGAUGGUACCACUCGUCUGGACUUUACAAACCUGUGGCUUGAUCAUCUUGUCUUCCUGAUCACCUAGGUCAUUGGACUUUUGGAGGCGAGGGGUAGGUUACAUUUUUAUCAUUUGCAUGAGGUUCUAAGACUUAACAUCUGUGGGAAGCCGGAAACCAGAGAUGUAGAGAAGUACUGAAAUGCUGAAAUGCUAUGAAUUUACUAUAAAAGAACAUUCUUCACUGAAGAGAUCUAUAGCUGCCAAAACACCCUUUCAUGGGUGAGAAGACGGGGGUAAGGAAAAAGAAAAAGAGAAGAGUAUGAUUCUAGGAACCACAUUGCAGAAAUGCCAAAGGGAGGGACAAACAAAUGAAUUUGCCUUUCUUCAAGCAUCAGAAUACAGGAAAAUGAAAAUUUUUUUUCUUUUCU